AGCCACAGCCUGUGGCACUCGGAGGACGGCACUGUGCAGCAAAGCCAGGGAGGCGUAGUAUCCCCACGCAGCAAGCAGCCCAAGAUGGAGCUCCACUGGCUUCCUUUGUGUGGCCCAGGCGGGCUGGCCA
ensembl:miRNA Mir9768 predicted gene, 38671